UACGAAGGGGGCUAGCGUUGCUCGGAAUCACUGGGCGUAAAGCGCACGUAGGCGGAUUGUUAAGUCAGGGGUGAAAUCCUGGAGCUCAACUCCAGAACUGCCUUUGAUACUGGCGAUCUUGAGUCCGGGAGAGGUGAGUGGAACUGCGAGUGUAGAGGUGAAAUUCGUAGAUAUUCGCAAGAACACCAGUGGCGAAGGCGGCUCACUGGCCCGGUACUGACGCUGAGGUGCGAAAGCGUGGGGAGCAAACAG
rnacentral:rRNA from 1 species